rnacentral:rRNA from 1 species
UACAGAGGUCUCAAGCGUUGUUCGGAUUCAUUGGGCGUAAAGGGUGCGUAGGCGGCGGGGUUAGUCGGAUGUGAAAUCCUGGGGCUCAACCUCAGAACUGCAUUCGAUACUGCUCUGCUUGAGUACUGGAGAGGAGACUGGAAUUUACGGUGUAGCAGUGAAAUGCGUAGAUAUCGUAAGGAGGACCAGUGGCGAAGGCGAGUCUCUGGACAGUUACUGACGCUGAGGCACGAAGGCCAGGGGAGCAAACGGG